CUAACUCGAUGGGAGGCGGGUCAGGUAAUUUUUUGAUAACAAUAAAAUAUUGGAGUAGAGAAUGCGAUCUUCUUCAACAGAUGGCAAGUCAAGGCUUUCAAUUAAAUAAAAACAGAUCUUAUCAAAGUCACUUUUCGUUGGGAAAAAUAAUAUUAAUUGGCACUCAAAUUUCUGGCUUUGGUCCGAUAAACAGGUACACACUUGAUAUAGCCAUCCAUUUAGGAACUACAUAGACACUCGUAUAUAAAAACUCCAUCCCAUUUCAGCUAAAAAAUUGUUUGAGUUGAAGUUAUCUACGACGCACUGUUACGUGCCACGUGCCACGUGCCACAUGAGGGAUGCACAAGCGGCAGCUGAGGCCUGGCGAAAGAGAGAAUCUACCAAGUGCAUUAGGGCAAGGGGAGGGGAGCCCUAAUGGAGCUGCGGGAAGUGGAGUGAUGUAAGAGUGGAUGCAACAGCAGAAGUCGGAGUCGCAGCGAUGCGUAAUGUACUUCGUUGUAGUUUCUCCCUGUGUCUGUAUUUUGUAGUCAUAAAUUUUUAUGGGUAUCAUGAACCAAACAGCGG
rnacentral:lncRNA from 1 species